CUGCCAGAUGAUUUUCAGUUUGUGAUUGUGCCUAGUCAGUGAGAGUGUAAAGUUGGUUUCUUGAGUGUUGUGUGUGGUUUAUUUUGACUUUCCUUUGGUUUUUCCGAUUUUCCUUUACGCUAGCGAUUCCCCACGGAUUCCGAACAUUCGCAGGAUAUCCGAACUUCUGUUUCUUUGCCGACGACUGCUGCAUAACGGGCGACGGCCGAGCGACCAGCCACUCUUCAAACCACCGAUGUGAAUACGAUCAAGACGACCGAACCACACGAUCGACCAGAUUCAAAAUCGAGAGAAGAAAAUUAUGAAGGAAGAAGUAUACGCGGCUGUCAAGUUUUUCGCUUGCUUUCUUCAAAAAAGUGAAAAGGUGGCGCGUGAGCAGCUGAGCAACUUUGAGACCACUCUUACGGACCUUCUCCUCGAAAGGUUCGAAAAGCACUGGUUCCCAGACUUGCCCAGCAAGGGCCAGGGUUACCGUUGCAUUCGAGUGAACUGCCUGAACCCCGUCGAUUUCACCCUUGAGAUGGCAGCGAUCAAAUGCGGGCUCCGCUACAAAGACCUCAGAUUACCCGCCGAACUCACCGUGUGGGUGGAUCCUAGCGAAGUGUGCUACAGACUGGGCGAAUCGGAAGGUUCGUACUGUACCCUAGCAUCUUUUCCCCAAUCGGACGCCUCAUCGACGACCUCCUCCUCAUCAUCGACGCCAUCGUCGCCCCAGCCCCUAAGCCCCAACUCGAGCCCCAUUCCGUCGCCUACGCUGGCCUUCCAGGAGCGAUCGGUCAUGGCUAGGCGACAAGGGCAGCGAAUAGGAACGUUAGCCAGUAGGGGUCUGAUCUCCGGUUCCUAUCCAGGGAGCGCAUUUGACUACGGCGCCCAAAUGGGCAAGUUCCGAAACAACCAGGGCGGCUAUCCAGCCAAUGGAGGUGGCAGACAGAGUAGACCAUCGCAAAGAGAGUGUGCGACACUGUUCUGACACAAGACACGCACAAAAGUGGACAUAUUUUUAAGAAAUACAUGUAGAGUUAAGAAGGAGACCGCCCUUAGAUGAACUUCAACAACUACAGCCAUCCCCACCAUAGGCCCAUGUACAACCGUUGCGACGGCCCGUCUUACCCUUUGGCACCGCCCUUCUACAACAGAAACAUGAACAACAACCGUUAUUAUCAUAUGAAAAAUGUGCUCAGGGUAUAGAUGCCGCCCUGAGGGAGCAGUGAUCGUCCGAAACGGUGGCAAUUUUUAUAAAGCUUGCGCAAUUGUAAAAACAUGCGUUUCGACCACGGCCACCGCUUGCUCAUACUUUACUCCCCCCCCUUCUGCACACGACCUAAAAGGUACAAGAUUUAAAUUAAGGAUUACUUGUAGAUGUUGAUUGGAAAGGUUGGCUCAUGCCGGAUUGGGCAGGAACAGUGGCGGGGGUGUGGCCCCACCCCCCACUUUGCGCUGUUUUAUCGCAUGCAAUGAACGAGUGAGCCGCUUGAUUUUCAAGAUUUCACCGAACUUGUAAAAUAUGUUACUUAUAAAUGUGAUUAUUUUUUUGUUUCGUUUACUUUGAUCGAUUGGCCUAUUAUUUAGGUGAAUAGCGUUCAACUGAACCGACCGAGGCUGAAAACUAUAAAUGUGAUGUUUAAUUUUAGCAAAGAGGGUAUAUUGUUCUUGAUGUCUAAGUGAUGUUUUGCGCCCUGAUUUAAUAUUUCUGGUUGAUGAAACUACUGCCCCUUUAAGGGCGUCUGUAAAUUUUCAUUUCACGUCCAUCAAAUCAGGGCUGCCAAUGAAUCAACUCAAUCGUUUCUAUUCAGCUAGGUUUUGUUUUAAGCCACUUACAGCUCAGCGCGCUUGUGUGCUGUCUCAUUGGAGAGUUUUUUGUAUGUUACUGCAAAGGACUCCUCAAUGGAAAUUGUAGGCGAAGAAUGCGAUGAGGGGAUUUUUUGGUGGCCGCCCUAAAGGGGUGCCUCAAGGCGCUUCGCCCUUGAUAAUAAUCCUUUUUAUAUGUGAUAGUUAAAGUUUAGGUUAUUUUUAUCUGUCAAUGACAACUAGGCGAAGCGCCCCGGGGCGCCGAUGUCGCUUCCUCGAUUAUCCUUGAUUAUUAUCAGUGCUCUGCAGUUUUUCCCUCAAGAUUCUUGGUGUGUAUAUAUUUAUCGUGUAGAAAUCCAGUUGAUAGCUUUAAUGUUUCCUCUAGGAACGAAAGAAUGCAGAGUACUGAAGGCAGGGCCUGUUUUCGAUUGUCUAUAACGUAAUUCUUAGGGGAAAUGUUGUAUCCCUCCUCCACCCGACACCUGCAGUUCGUUUUAUAUGAAUUUUAGUUUAGUUUUAGUGUUUGGUUUCGAAUAAGCAUUUUAUAAUCAAUUUUUAAGCAUUUUCUUGCAGCCUGCCAGUGGGCGAUGUGGGGCUGCGCCGCACAGCAUUAAAAUGGACUUUGAUAUAUCUACUAAUAUUCGACAUAGGCCUUGAUGUUCUCGUAAUAAUUAGUCAACAAAAGUACAAACUAACGUUAAAUAUUCGCUUGCUGCGCAGCAGCUGCGCAUCACUGGCUGGCUACUUAGUACUGUUAGCAAUCAACCUUACCAAGGCUGAAAAAGACUUCACAGUCUUCACAUGGUCCAAACUGAUGACGAAAUAUCGCAACGUCCCAUACGUUCUCUUAGGGCUGGAUACGGCUCGAUUUUAGACACUAGGUUUUUACCGUUAAGGGUUUGGUAUUCACAGACAUACAGGUUUAUUAUAUGAACAGCUUGCUAGAUACAGACCGGGGUUUCGGUCGAAACCCUUUUAAACGUAAGUGAGGUUUGGUUUUUUUCUACUUUUUUAAUUUUUAAUGGUAACGCAAGAACUAACAGGGUGUUUUUAUAGCAACUAUUGCGGUAUUUGAGUAAUGCUAACUUCCAUCUCGUUUCGUUCAAUAUCGGGCAGGUUUUUUGAGAUGUUCAGUACAACUAAACGAUAACAUGUGAUACAUUGUCAAAUAGGCAAAAGCGUGCAAUUAACUUAACGAAAUUCUAAUCAUUUGGAAGCGUCCGCCACUAAUCGAUUAAAAGUGAUUUAAUCGUUCAAUAUACCUUGAAAAGCCUGCGAAACUUACUGUAGAAAUAUGUUGUAUAAUGAACAUGUAUAUGUAUAGAGUAAAUGAUUGUUCUGUGUAAUAUAAAAUACAUAUUUAAAUAUAUUAAUGUUAAGACAUGCAUUCAAACUGAAAA